rnacentral:lncRNA from 1 species
UUUUUUUUUUUUUUGUGGUCACAGGGUCUCAUGCAUGUUUAUGUAGCUCAGCUUUCUUCACGUACGUAUGAUCAUGUAUGGAUCCUAUCUCUUCUUUUCCUAAUUCUACACAAUGUUAAAUUUCAAUUCACGACUUGGUAUCUUGUUAAGUGGAAAUGACUACUAUUAUUUUGCUGAUAAAUUUUCGUACAACAUGCACAGGUGUUAGAGAGAUGUGGUCCUUUUUGUUGCAUUAUUUUCAUCAUCAACAUAUUUUAACCCACAAGAAUACAGAAGGUUCUUAGUUAACAAGAAAUGUAUUUAUGUUGAAAACCAUAAUGGAUGCAAUGUGGCUUGGACACAGUUAGAAGCAUAAAGCAAAUCCGAUAAUGUGUCCGAAGUUCAAAAUUUAGAUACAAACAAAGCAAGGAAACCGGUACUGUAAAACAAACUUAUAGAUAUUCUAUUACCUCCAAUUGUACUUUGUUUUCCUCAACCUCUUUUAAAACAGGGUAUUAAUCAUUAUUUAAUAAAAGAGUCCUCAGUGCUUAAGAACUAGUAUAUUCUUUCUUAACAUCAGAAGUAAGCAAAGUUGUGCCAGAUGCAUGUUUGCCUUGUUCUGUGCCAAAAUGUUCAAACAUUGUUAACUCCUUAACUCCUUAUUUCAUUUAGAAACAAUGAUAAAUAAAAAAAAUAAAAAGGUAAAAACGAGGCAGUAGAAUCCUGGUGAUAUUUUUGAAAGACUGGAAGAGGGGGUGGGGGAGACUUACCUGAUUCAUAUUAGCUAUAGCUCCAUUAUUCUUCCCAAUUCAUUAACCACUCACAGAUUAGCUCAGAAAAGGGAGGAAGUUUCCUAAAAUGUUCUUUAUUACAUGUUUUUUUCACUAAUUUAAUACCACAUUUCUACGUGAUUCAAAAGAUUCUACGUCCUAGUGCUAUUCCAAAGUUGGAGUCACCAUGUUGAACAGAAGGCUCACGUCUGUAUUAUGCCAUUGUGUCAGUAAGUUAGUUCUAUUUCUAUUUCAUCAGGAAUUUGGUAUUAAACAAAAUAAACUAUAGAUUCAGGAAAUUGAGACAUAUGGAUCCAGGAACUUAGACUAACUUAUAAUGAAGUAUGUCUUUGGAGCACUUUUAAACACAAUGUGACUAGGACUCUAUACAUUAAAUGUACUAGAAUGUACAGAGAUGAAAAUGGAAGAUACUAGUGUACUCAUUCCUCAUGAAAGUUUCAUAAAGGAGCACUAGUACUACAUGUGUCUAGAAACAACUAAAAGCUAAAUUAAACAUCAAAUUUGUGUCAUCUACUUGACAAAUUUGCUUCUUCAAUAUUCCUACCUGGCAAGUCACAGACAAAUGAAGAUUGUGAAGAGAUUCUGGAAGCAGUUAUGGAUACAGAGCAAUCACUCCAUGACUGCUUCUUAGGCAAUGCGAUAUUCCCAUGUUGAAAACAAGCUGUGGGAUGUGCAACUUUUGACUUGUGCAGCUCACAGCUGCAGUUGCGAUGGUAUGGCCUUCUCUCAAUCUCCAUAUCAGACAUUGAUAAGCUACCAUCAAAUACACAUUGAAGCAUCAUCUGACCUGCCGCGGCUGCCAUUGUCUUCUUAAUGUCUUCUUUUCAGAAUCUUAAUGUGUUUUGUGGGUUUCUGGGAUUUGUUGCGUGUUAUAGUGAAACUUCAUAGGUUGAAACUUUUGCAUGCUUUUGAAGGGUUUAUAUAGAGUACGUAGUAUUUGGUGGGGCAGAAAACUGUGGAGUAAUCUAGGAGAAAAUGCUGCGUUUGUUCCAAAGUACUCUUUGCUAUUGUAAGGGACUAAGGGUUUAAGACAAUCGUGUUUCUCUAGGGACUUUUCUGUUCUUGACUGAAGCCUAAAGUGUGCUCAGAGAGAGAGAGAGACUAAGGAAUAAAGAAAAUAAUUAAUUGGGGCUUGGCUUGGCUUGGCUUGGCUUGGCUAAGUUUGGCUUUUAUAUCAUUGUAGGAAGUGGGCUCUUAGAUCUUAUGAUGCUUGAAAUAAGAUCUCUUCAAUCUUAUUUUGUCAUGCUUGCAGUGACUACUAUUCCUAUGAAUUUAUGAACAGAGAAUCGCAUAGUAGUUAAUUGUUAUUAGAAGACUCCACAACUCACAUAUGGACAUAAACUGUUGUUCUAUCAUUUAACCUUAUUUCUAUUCUUAUGUUGAGAAUUGUGGAAAUUCCUGUCUCUUUCACUUCCUAUUAUAUUUCCAAUGUCUAACAGAUUUCUUCUUGCAGUUCAAGCAAAGCGACAAGAUAUAUAUACUCUCAACUAAACAAUUUUAUGUGCUCUCCCAUGGCAAUAUAAUUUCGAAUCAGAGUGAUUUUUGAUUUUUUGUCUCAAGAAACUCGAUAUCUGCUAUGUAUAAGUUUUUUUUUUUUGAAAUUACUUUUACAUUAUAUUUGUUUCCCCCCAGAGAGAGAGAGAGAAGCAGAUCGGUUAUUGGUUCAUCAAUUCAAUGGCAAGUAGUAAAAGAAUACUUAAAGUAAGCAAUAUUUUUUUCUUAAAGAACUUAAUAGUGAUAGUAUUAUUAUUUUCAAAAUAACUUUUUUUCCCCCAAACUUGUCAAUGACUACUUUGUAUUAAUUGCUUAUGAAAAGAAAAAAGAAAAAAACACUUUCAUUUAUUCUCUCCUGAACAGAUAGAUUGAUGCAGAAGGAAUUUUUUCCCUUCCUUUUGUCACAAACCAUUUUGAAAACUCUUUCCUUCUCUUGAUAUUUGAUCAAGAUGGAUCACAUUCUAAUUUGAGUGCCUAAUUUAUGACUUGAUUUUAAAUUCACUACUGCCGUGGGAAGAAAGAAUUAAGGAGCAAAAGAAAUAUAAGUACACCGGAUGUCUCUCUUACUUUUUUGGUAAUAAGCGAUGUCCUUCAUGUACUACGUACUAUUUUCUCUUCCUUUUUAAACUAAUUUUCUGCAUGCGCGGUAAAUAGAUAUAUAUAUAUAUAUACUACAAUUUAUAUAUUUAGUUGGUCUCGAAAUGCAUGUUUUUAUUCUAGUAGUGGAUAGCUAUGCUAUAGUUGCAUCUUGCUUCCACAAACAAACCUAAUCUAUACAUUCUAUAUGAUGAUAAUGUAACAAAGUCGUGCCGGCACAACGAUACUAUGCGUGAGCCUCAUUUGUGACUAAGAAUUUAUGUUUUAUUUACAUGUGAUAUGAUUGUUUGUAACUGAACUUGUUUUGUUUUGUUCUAUUGAUGACGCUGUUGAGGGACCAGUUUUGGGUAAGGUUGACAUACAUAGUGCGUUGUAGAAUCUAGACAAAAUGUAAUCAGUUAACAUUCAUAAUUUAUAAUACUAUUAUACGGGACCUAAAUUUGUUAAAUAAUCUGUUUAUUAAUGUGAUCAAACUUCUGUGCGAACAAUUGUUUAAUGGUUUUUUCCUUAGAAAAUAGUGAUUUGUGAAAUGUGUGCAAUUUUAUUUUAUUUUUUUGGAAAUUGAGAGGAAAUGAUAACUGGAUGAUACGAUCUUCAAAUGAUAAUCAAGCCUGAGUACGCAUAUUCAAGGCAAGGUUGUUCUUCUCAUUUGGCCAAGUAUAUACAGAUCCUAUUUCUUCUUUUCCUAUUUCUAUAAACAAUUCCAUUAUCACCACAUGGGAUCAUUGUUCAUAGGAAAUGAUUGCGAUUGCAGCUGAUAAUUUUCAGACAACACCAAGGUGCUAAAGACCCUGGUCCUUUGGUUGCUUUGUUUUCUUCACUGACAUAUUUUACCAUACAAGCUAAACUAUAGUUCCUUAAUGUAUCCGUUGAGAAUGAUGAGACUAAAAACAAGGUUCCCAAUUAACAAGAAAUAUGUUAAUGCAAACAUAAUGGAAGCAGUGUUACUUUGACACUAUUAGAAGCACAAAGUGAAUCCGUUAAUGUGUCAACAAGUUCAAAAAAUAGAUAAAAACAAAGCAAGAAAGUACAAACCAGUAGAGGAAAACAUAAUUGCAGAUAUUUUAAUACCUUACUUUACUUUGUUUUCCUCAACUUCUUAUGGAAAACUACAUUUUGUCAAACUUCCACUUAUUUGGAACAGAGUGUAUAAUAGGAGUAAUUGUUAAUAACAGAAUCCCCAUUGUCUGCUUUGCUUUAUCAUUGCAUGUGCAAGUUGGUCAAGCAUAGUUAACUUCUUGUUCCAUUUAGGAACAAAGUUAGCUAGAUAAAACAUUAAAAAGAAAAUGUUAAAAACAAGGUAGUUGAUAUUUUGCUGGCCUGUGGCUAAGGGGGCAGAAAGAGUGAGAGAGAGAGAGAGGGCUUACCUAUUUUCUAAUAGACUUGAACAUUUUUCUACUGCUGAUAAUUAGCUACAUUUUUCUUCACAUGUUCUAUACAUACUAAUAUAUCUCUAGACUCGAAUGUAUUUCGUAUCCCUUGCUGUUCAACUUGACUUUCCUUACCAGAAUCCCUAGAGGUAUCCCCAUUGGAUAGAACAUCAAAAAAUUGAUCUCAACUUAUUUCCAUAUGUGGAAACUAUGCAAAGAUGGAGUAUUUAAUUAUGCUGUAUCUGUGUUGUACAAUGACAUGAAAUUACUUUCUAUUUGUUUUACGGAAUUUAGUUUCACUCUAAACAAAUGAACUAUAAACUCAGAACAUGCAUGAGGCAUAUGCAUCAAGGAGAUAACACCAAUUGAUGAUGAAGUGCGCCGUUGGUACAAUUUUUUUUAACACAAUGUGACUAGAACUCUAUACAUUUAAGUGCACAGAAUGUACACAGAUGAAAAUGGAAGAAACUAGUGCGCUCAUUCCUCAUGACAGUAUCAUAGAGGAGCACCAGCACCAUAUGUGUUGAGAAACAAAUAUACAAAACAACAUUUUAGUUCAUAAUGAAAUUAAACUUCAGAAUUUCUGUCAUCUACUAAACAAAGGUUCAUUUGCUUCUUCUUUAUUCCUACCUGGCAAGUCACAGGCAAAUGGAGAUUGCGAAGAGAUUCUGAAAGCAGUUGUGGUCCUUAUGGAUACAGAACAAUCACUCCAUGACUUUUUCAUAGGCAAUGUAACAUUCCCAUGUUGAAAACAAGCGGUUGGGUGCGGAACUUUUGACUUGUGCAGCGCACAGCUGCAGUUGCGAUGGUACGGCCUUCGUUCAAUAUCCAUAUCGCACAUUGAUAAGCUACCAUCAAACACACAUUGAAGCAUCAUCUGACCUGAUGUGGCAGCCAUUGUCUUGAUGAUAUCUUCUUUUCUGAAUCUUAACGUGUUUCUGUGAUUUGGUUGAGUAUUUCAGUGAUUUGCAUGCUUUUGUAAGGUUUAUAUAGAGUACUUAAUAUGUAGAGGGAUGGACUAGGACAGUGAUGUAAUCUAGGAAAAAAAAUGGGUGUGAGUUAUCUACGUAGAACACGAGAGAUGCUUGUGUGUAGUUACUUUUCCUAGGGUUUAAGAUGGCGUUUUUCUCUAGAGACUUCUCUGUUUUUGACUGUUAGGCCUAACUCUCUCAGAAAGUAGGAAAGUCUUAAGGAAUUAAAGAAAGUGGUUUGGCUCGGCUCGGGUAAGUUUGGCUCUGGUGCAUCCUAGGAAGUGUAGUCUCUUGACCUUAUAUUUCAAAGAAGGAUCUUUUCUACCGUUAUUUCCAUGCUUGGAUUGGUGAAUAUUCCUAUGAAAUAAAGAAGUUAGAGUUAAUCUAUAUAUAUAGUCAAUAAAAGACUUCACUAGCCAGACAAAAAUUAUUGUCAUGUACUUCAAAAAUUUCUUUGUUUUUUGUUGUUGAUAAUUAAUAGUGAAUUUUCUUGUCUCUUUUACACCCUAUUAUGUUUUCAAUGUGUAGCACAUUUUUUCUUAAAAUCCAAACGAGGAAUGGCAAUGUUCUGUGUGCCCGAUGGCAAAAUGAUUUAGAGUCGAUAAAAUCUUCUCUUCAGAGCUUUUUCCCAUCUUAAAUUUAAGACUGAAAUUUGUUAUUUGGAAAGAAAUGCAUUGAAAAAGUUCGUAAGCCUAAUAGGACUCCCAAUUUUGGACGAAAUGAGUACAUUCUGUUGAAUGACAUAUAGUACUGAGAUGUAGCCAAGUAGUUUGCAAACAUUGGAUUGGAACUAAUGAACCUAUUUAUUAAUUGCUUUGAAAACUUUUAGAGUCCUUAAAGCAUUUUAAGAUUUUUUUAAUUUAAUUUAAUUAUUAUUAUUAUUAUUCUAUUUUUGUAUUAAACCUUGGGGCUUGGGCUAAUGGAAUUGAUAGAUGAAAAUCUUUAGAUUUAAUAGUUGAAAUAUUUGAGCUAAAUCUUUUCUGAAUAUUUUGAGUCUGUACAUACAAACAAAUCUGAAAGCAGUUAUAUGCACCACCUACUAUUCUGCUUGAUCCCUGUAUUGUUACUUGUCAUUGUGAAUCCACCAAACAUGACAAUAUAAUGCUAGCUGUAGCGUGUUGGGUGAUCCAUGUUAGAAAAUAACAACAGAGCGAAAACAAUAGCAAAAGAAAAACACAAGACACAAAAUUUACGUGGUUGGUCCAAAACAUUUGGGCUAGUCCACGGCUUAUAAUUUCAAUAUCUCUUAGAAAAUUCAUACAUUGCAAGAUCCCUUCCUUAUAUAAUGCAAUAUAAGUAAUCUUAAUUCACCCGAAAGUACAAAGCUGUCUCUCUAGUUUUGGGGACGUCUUCUGCUCCAGGAAAGGGUCCAGUUAACUUUUGGAUAACUUUACAAUCACCUCUAAAUUAAAGUUUGGAUCAGGAUUCACCAAUAACAAUCUGCUAUAUUGAAAUUUCAAGCUACUAUUAGCUUUAAUUACUGUCAUUAAACCUAUUGUUGGGUUAUCCAAGUGCUCAAAGGUUAAUUAUAAUUCAUUUGACUCACUGAAUGCAUCUUCUUACAAGAUAUCUUCCAGACGUGUGACAUAUGAUAGACUAUAUUUCUUCCAUUCUGAGGCAAGAUCUUCUUUCCAUAUGAAGAAAGAAAACUGAAAAUAUUAUGCAAGGUAGAGAAAAUUUUACAAGCUCCUUUAAUUUUAUUGCUAAAUUUUGUCCAUUUCCUAAACUACGAGCGUGCCCAUAGCCAUGUGUGUAUAGGAUCUAGAGAAUAUCAGUUGGUGUGAAUUAAUGUACACUUCAUGAUGUACUAAGUUCCCUCACUAGGAGUUGAAUAUGAGUUAAUAUUUGCAUUUUCUCCAACAAGAUAUAUUUUGGUUUUUGAGAUGGGGUCCAUCUGCCAUGAGUGAAUAUAUAUACAUACAUAUAUAUAUAUAUAUAUAUAUAUAUAUAUAUAUAUAUAGAGAGAGAGAGAGAGAGAGAGAGAGAGAGAUAGAUAGAUAUAGAGAGAGCUAGAGUAGAACAAAAGUGGGUGGAUAUAUGACUUUAGGGUCGUGUUGGUCAUGCUUUGUGGAGAUUUUGCAGUUCCUCGUUGGCUGUAUCUGUAUAACAACGAAUCUGAAGUUUCUUUGUAAUUUCAGAUACGUACUAGCAUAAAGCAGCUCACACUUUACAUAUUUAAUGUGAAAAUCAAUAACGGAAUGCAUUGUAACUUUUGUUGUAGUCUGUCCACUGUCCUCGUAUAUCAAUAUUGUCAUAGUCAUGAAAUAGUCCUUGCAACUGAUUUAAUUAGUUUGAAAUGUGAAAGAAUUCAUCCCUCCAUAUAUAAUCUGCAAUUCCUUCCUUCUUGGAGUAGGAUUUUAAGCAUUAAUUGUUUUCUCCAAAACAACCUAUUUUUGACUACUUCGUCUUUUGGAUUUACAGUUGGUGGGGUGGGAGGGUAUUUCUAUACAGCAACGAAUCUGAACUUCCUUUGUAAUUUCAAAUACUAGCAUAAACCUCCUAUUACUACUUAUUUAAUGUGAAACAUUGAUAACGGUAUUCUUUAUAACUAAUUAUUGUUUUAUUCUGUCCUCAUAUAUAUAUAUAUAUAUAUAUAUAUUGCCAUAGUUAAGAAAUACUCCUUAAUUUACUGAUCUAAUUGGUCUGAAAUGUCAAAGAAAUCUGCCCAACGUUUUGCACUUUCUUGUUGGAGUUCAGUUUUCAGCAUUGUUUUCUCCUAAGCAACCUCUUUUUAACUACUUAUUGUUUUGGAUUUAUAGUUAUUUGUAAGCUGAUCUGGGUGGGUGGGAGGGUGGGUGGGUAUAUCAAUAUAACAAAGAAUCUCAACUUUCUUUGUAAUUUCAAUGCUCCCACUUUACUUAUUUAAUGUGAAUUUCAAUAAUGGUAUGCUUUGUAGCUUUUGUUUAUUUCUCCUCAUAUUGUCAUAGACUUGUGUUACGUUUGGAUUGGAGUAAUAAAAGUAGGAAUGAAAUAAUUCAUUUCUAUGGAAUGAAAAAAAUUGUGUUUGGUUGCGAUUGAAAUGGAUUGAACCAUUCUUAUUCCUCCCAAAUUUAUAAAUUUUAUUCUUUGGGAGAAGGAGAGUAUGGAAUAACUCAUUCCAACUAGAAUGAAAUGAAUCAUUUCAUUCUAUAUUCAAUCCAAACUUAACAUCAUAGUCAAGAAAUAUUCCUCUACUAAUAUAUAUAAUUGAUUGGUUUGAAAUGUAGAAGAAUGCAGGCUUCCCUUUAUAGUUUGAAACUUUUGUAUUCUUAAUAUCCCUUGCCUAAUGCUGCAAGCUUGGCCCCCUCUGUAAGGUACAAUACAACGUGUGGUGGAAAACACAGGAGAUUCAGUUAUUAUCUUCUAAGAAUUAAUGUGUUGUUAUUACUAUAUUUUUUCUGUUGAGGAAGUAAAAGUUGCUUUUAUGUUAGAAUUGUGUAGUUCCCCCCCCCAGCUGAUUCCUGAUAUUGUAACUUUUCUUUUGCUUAAACUUUGUAUUAGACUUUUUGGGAUUUAACAAUCGUUAUUUUUUCAUUUCAUUUCAAAUUGAUUAUAUAUGAUCAUACUAUGCAAUCUAUAAGUGGUAAAAUUAAUUUAUUCAAUCAAAGUUACUAUGCAGAUUAUUUCCAUGAAUGGCUUCUGAAUAUGUCGAAGGAGCUAACUGGUAUCAAUUUCUGCCUUUGAGCUUGGAACUUGACAAAUGACAACAAUGGCAGGUUAAAGGUAUUCUGAAUUGUUGAAUCUUGCAAUUAAUUUUGAUUCAUAUAUUUCUUUCACUUGUUUUACUCUCUUAACUUGGAAUUUAUCUUUUCUUUCUUAUGUUUUCACUUUGUUAGCAGUUGCUAUAAUGUCAAGGAGGGUUAUUUUGCAUGAAUCAUGUUUGUAGAUUUUGUCGCUCAUGAUGCUAUGUUGAAAUACAAUUUAUAGGUUAUCUAUAGCUUUGUGUUUCUUUUUAAUACUAUAACUACAUGCAGUUUCUACUACUAUACUACUUGUGGUUUCAUAUAUCCUCAAAUGUUUAAUGAACUAUUAAAGUAUUGCGGUUAUGAUGGUCCCAGUAUCUCUUGACAUGGUUGAUGUUUGGAUCAUACUCCCUCCGUCCCAUAAUAAAAGUUAUAACUUGACUUUCAUGAUCAAAUUAACUAUUUUUUAAAUUAAUAAUAAAUCUUAAAAAAAAUUAAAAAUAUACACCAAGUAAUUAUGUUUACUAGAAUUUGAAAAUUCUAUAUACAUAUUUUUAAUUAAUAAUUCUAAGCAUGAUCAAAAGUCAAAUGAAGAUUGUUAUUAUAGAACGGAGGGAGUAUAUAAUACAAAAUGUUGGAGAAAACAUUAAUUACGGCUUCUUUUGUUUGUUCUUGAAUUUUGUAUUCAAGGGAAAAUAGUUAUAUUUAUUCCUCGGAGAAAUAGUAGUGUUACUUUUAGUAUUGUGUCAAUUACUGAAGCUGUUUCACGUCAAAAUGGAAGUACCGAAAGCUGUAGAUUAGUUUCUUCAUGUGAAUGGUUGAGGGACCAUAUUAUUAUUAAAGCUGCAAUUUGUCCUCAAGGUCGAAGACAGUAGUAAGCAAUGUGGGGGGUGGUGUCCCAUGUUGAAGCAGGUGAUGAUGAUUAGUGCUAUGGAUAUUUGUUUCCUAAAUGGAGAGAGGCACCUUUCAUAUGGAAUGAGAAUGGGGAAUGGACUAGUCUCACCGGAUAUGCGUUGGGCAUGGGGUUCCACCAAGUUCAGAAUGCGAGUAUUAUUAGCUUUUCUAUAUAUAGUAGAUAAGAAAAUUUAGAGAUGAGUGCGACUUGCUGCCAAUUAUAAGUUUGAUCCUCUUAUUGUUACUUUAGAAUAAUGAAGUGGCCAGGUAAAAUGUAAUUUUUCUCCUCUCUAAAUUUAGGUUAUUUUCUAAUAGGAGCAUGAUAUUUGAUGGUUAAUUCCAUUGAAGGGAGAAGGAAAGGGGGUUUCUAUGUUGAAGAAGCAUAUAUAUAUUUGUUAAAUUGAAGUGUACAUACUUUGUUGUUUCUACAUAUCUAGAAUAUCUGGCUUAUAGCUACCUACAGGCAACAACCAUAUGGCAUUCCCAUAGGAGAGAGAGCUGAAUACAAGUAGAUGAAAGAAGCGGUACUGGUAGUUUGUCUGUGUGUGUGUUACAGAGAAAGAGAGAGAGUGGGUGGGUUACCUUUGUUACGUGCUGUUGCCUUGGGUACUUGGUAAUGUUUCUGUUUAAAUAUUUCACAUGAAUUCCACAUCCGAUAAAUUCAAGAGUGUAGAUAGGUUAAUAAGUAUGGUAGAGCCUCAACCUAAUAGGUUAACUUUUUAGGUAAGGAGGUGGUCCAACAUACUUAUUAGGCCUCGUGGGAUGAUUUGACCGUCUACACAGGUGUGCGCUGCAAUUCUGCUACAGUUUCCUUCUUGAUGUAAUUACUACUCCUAGUUUUAGCUAUAAAAAAAAUGCAUAUUUACUAUUACUCUAUUUAACUUGCUGUUAUUCUAUUAAUCCACAAACUAUAGUAUAUAUACCUAUGUUUAAGUAUAAAUUCCAGGUGUGAUUUUUAUACAAGUGAAUAUCUAAUGAAUUUGCCCAUUUUAUGCAUAAUGUUGAAAAGACAAAUGUGACCUUAACUACCUCCUAAUAUAGACAAGACUCCGUGUGUGUGUUGAAAAGACUAUGUAUGUAUGUCCUCCUUGGGGCUUGGGCACUAGCAUAUAGUUUACUAUCAGAUUGACCAAUGUGCGUGGUUGGUGGGUAUUUUGUGCACCCGGUGGUUUAUCAGGUGUCCAUCUUAAGGGUAAUGGCAGCAGGUCCGGGUCCAUCGAUCAUAAUAUAUAUAUAUAUAUAUAUAUAUAUAUAUAUAUAUAUAUAUAUUAUUGUGUGUGUUAUGUAGAUUUCAAUAGCAUUCAUGUAAUACAUGUUCUCAUUUCAAGAAUUGCCAUGUCGGAAUCAGCAUCCAUUUCCUUGUUAAGUCCCUGUUUAUGAGAACACAAGAAACAAAAAUGAUCGAUCUAUGCUCUGCGCCAUGGUUGUAAAAUGAAACGUUGUGAAUGGAUGAACUGUUUAGGAAGAAACCUUAAUGGUGUAUGCGUUAUCUAUUUCCAGUCAAAGACAAAGAGAGAAGUUGGAACAUUGAUUUUAACCAGAAAACUCACUAGGAAGUUAGAGCAGCACUGAUUUUAUACCCAAAUCUCACCGGGAUGCAAAGAAAUGAAGACAGAAAAUUUUAAGUGGAAUAAUUUCUUUACUUAUUUUGACUAUCCUAAAUAUCACUGCAAAUUUUUUAUUGAGAAACUUCAUGUUAAAUUUAUAAUACUCCUUAAGCUCCUUUUCUUCUCCUUCUAACUUGGCCAGAGAAUUAUUACAAUCUACUUGACAAAACACCUAAUCAUCUAAUAUGUAAGCCACUGGGAAAUGAACAUUGAGAUCAAGUGAUUCUGAAAGGUGAUUCGGAGAAUGCAAAAUGAAAAUAUAUUAUUGUUUCUUCAGGAAAGAAAUACCCGUGUGUUGAGGACGCACACCGGAGUAUGUGACUUUUUGUAUGUGGAGCACACAGCUGCUGCUACUCUGGUAUGGCCUCCUGUCAAAUCCCUUAUCAUAAUAUUGAAAUCCUUCUAUCAGUGACUACCUAAUUCCUAAAGCAUCAUAUAUAUUUUCUGCUCUGGUGGUCAUUUUCUCGUCUAUCUGUCUCUCUAUGUAUUGCUUACAGGUGAAUGUUUAGCUAUGAUUGUGUGAUGUGUGUGAUUAUCAGAAAAUUUGAACGUUGUGAAACUUCUUCAUGUGUUAUGAAGGGAUUUUAUAGACCAGGGAUCAGUUAUGAUGGGUGGGGUGGGGUAUCACUGUAGUGAUAAUCAAGGGAGCAUAAACUUGGUGAAUGCUCCCCCUUAGAAUUCAAGAGAUAUUUUGUCUUUGUGUCUUGGUGGGAUGCUUCCAAUUUUAGUUAGUUACCUUAUAGCAUAAUCGGUUUCCCCUAGGGAAGUCUCAGUUGUACACUAUGGGACCUAGAAUGUGCCAUCAAAGAGAGCCAGUUUUUGGAAUUGAAUAAAAUUAAUGGGUUAGAUUGUUUUUUUUUGCGUGGCUUGCAUGGCUUGUCUUUGCUUGGGUUGCAAGGAUAUGAGAUUUCCUAACCUGAAUUAGGGUUUUACCAUUGUUUUUUUUCUUAAGUAAUUUUACCAUUGUUUUCUUCAAAGAAACAUGUUUUUGACUAACUCAUUAAUGAGGUUGGUGGCUUUAUGCCAAUGUCUAUGCAAUACAGAAUCUGGAUUCUUGUAUGAAGUCAAUGAUCACAAAGUUCCCACUACUCAUUCUUGUGAGUUGUGAACAUGCACCUAAUUGUCUGUGCUUACUUUGUACUAUCUUCUAUUCAUAGCUAAUAUUUUUUCUUACAUAUUAUGAAAACUAAAGGCACCUUGUUGCAGAUUCAUUACUUUCAAAUGUCAAAUACAGACUUUUGUCUAGUCUCCUUAGCUGCAAUUCUGUUCUGGAACCUGUCAUGCAUGUUCAACAGUUAGGUUUGAUGCCAAUUCAGAUCCCUCCAUUUGCAGUACUACUGUAAUAAAUUUAUCAGAUGUGAUUUGGAAAGUGUGGGAUUUUCAUGUGCAAGUUGAGCAACUCUUCUAGAAUAAUACAUGCUCUUUAACUCAUGUUUACAUGUCCAAUUUAAGCCUAAAAAACUUCUGUUAAAUAGAAUUUAAAUAAAAAAGUAUCUUCAUUCAAGUAACUAAUAGUAGAGUCUGUAAAAAAGCUUUAAGCCACUUUUUUCUUGUUUAAACACUAAUUAAGGUGGCUUGUGCAGCAAACAUUGGGUCAACAAUUUUACACAUUUAAGAAACACUCUUGGAAAAUUGAUAGUUAACCAGGUUUGAGCUUGAUUUUGGAAGGAUUUGGACCUAUUGGAAGUUGGGGUUGUAGCAUUAUUGGUUCCUAACAAGGUCUUUUUUAAUUUGACCAACCCAUCACAAGAGAUGUUUUCCAUUUUAUAGUUAUGUGUGGUAAAGGUGAAUCUAUAUAGGUAUUUGAACUGUUUAGUGACUUGUAGUGAUAUUUCUUUUGUGGAGUUGAUUGAUUCUGAAGCUCUGCGAAAGCUCCACCUUUUAAUUAACCUGAUCAAUUGAUCGUCGACUGGUAAGCUUUAGAAUGACCCUCCUCUCACAUAGCUAGCUACUACAGUUUUUCAUUGAUCAAUUGCUUAGAAAUUAUAGAAAUCAACAUGUUAUAUAAUCUCACACCCUUACAUGGUCGGCCACAUAAAUGUUUACAAAAUAACAUUGAAGUUCUUGUACCGUCUUUGGAGCUUCACAUUAAUUUCUAGGUAAAUUUUUGUACUGCAAUUCUUGCCUUGCCUGUGUUUUUCAGUCUUUACUUUCUUGACCAGACUGUCUAUCUUCCCUCCCUUGAAAUGUUAAUUUACUUAUAUUAUGGAGGUAUAGAUAAUGAUGGCACUGUACAUAGAACCAACUGUUUAAGACAUUGUUCAGAGUUGUAGAAAUCUAAUAGAGUUAACCGCUUGUAUGUAGUUAGCAUUAAGCAAAUAUACCCCAAACCAGAAAGUUUUACUUUUAUUUUUAUACAGUCUACUAGGUAUCACAUUCAAGGGAAAAGAGUCCAGUACUUAUCCAAAAAUUAAUUGUCCACGUUUGGAAUAUUUAUGUCUUUUUAUUUUUUUACAACUAAUUAACUAAAGCAGGCGUUUGUGGACACAUGAUCUAAGGGUUUUUCAAACCUUCGAGAUAUAUGGUCCUGAUUCUACUUUUAUAGGAUGUAUGUAUGGUUACAACUUUAGAAAAUGAAAUCAACUUUUCUAUUCAUAUGUUUGUCAAAAUAAGAACAUGCUCAAUUUUUAACCAUAAUGAUGUAUGAUUAUUGAUUACACAUUUAAUUCCCUUUAUUCCCACAAACCAAACAGGUCAUUAGUUUUUUUUAGUUAUUGCUGUAUUAAAUAUCACUUUGUUUCUCUUUCAUUUUUUGUAAUAAAUUUUAGUGACAUUUUAUAAACUAUUUUGAUCAAAUAAACAAAGUAUUUAUUGUGUUUUUUGUAAAACAACAAGUAAAGAAGAAUGGAGGGAGUAUAGUAUACUUUUGGCAUCCAAGUAUCAAUAACAUAAAUAUAUAUUCUUAUUCUCUAUUCUCCACUUGAAUAAGACAAACCUCUAUAAAGUUGAAUGCAUAAAAUUUAUUUAGUGUAACUACCUUGUAAAAGCACAAAGUAAAGGACUGAGAAGUACCCUUACCAUAUACAGAGGGAGAUUAAACAAAAAUUGAGAUGCGAGCAAAUGUUAAUCAAUGUUGCCAUGUUCACGUGUUCUGAUCUAGUAGCUUCUUUGUUUUAUUCAUAUUUGUCCCUUAAUAUAAGAUUUUUUAGAGUUGUGUAUAAAUAUUUAAAAAAUAAUUAUAUAACAUUAAAUAUAAUAUCAUUACCCUUAUAUUGGAAAAAGAAAUUACUAUUAUUUAUUGAACAAAAAAUAGUGAGAGAACCAAAGUUAUAUUUAAUACUUGAGGUAAUAUUGAAAACUAAGCAAUUAAUGCUUACUUGAAAUUUUAAAACGUCAUAUAUUAAAGGUCAAAAAAACUUCUCUAAAAUGUCUUAUAUUAAAGGACGGAGGGAGUAAUGUUAUUAUCACAUAAAAUCGCUCACAUACCGUGUUGGGAAAAACACCACCCAAAGACUGUUGUUGUUGAUAAAUUAAAAUGAAUAAUAAGAAAGAAAAACAAACAAAGAGACACCAAGAUUAUCAAACCACGAGACACCAAGAAUUUUUACGUGAAAAACCCUCUAAAACUAAGAGGUAAAAAACCACGGGACGAUCUCCGAAAAAAUCCACUAGAAUAAUAUGAGAGAAUACAAAGAUAUCUUAAUUUGAGUACAAACUCAAAUUACUUCACCACAAUAACUAUGUGAUGGAACCCAAAUAAAACACCCUUCUAUUUGAACUAUCUUUCUCCCUCUCUAUUUUCUAAAGCUUCACAGAAGCUUUUCUUUCUCUCCUUCUCUCCUUCUCUCCUUAAACUCUCGGAUGGAGUAUGCUGAUUUUUGUUGGUGUAUUUCAUCCUUCUUCCUUAGCUUCCUUUUAUAGCCAAAUGAGGAGGAGAGAGGUUGGCUAAAUUAUGAGGUAGGUAGGAAAGUAGAAGGUGGAGUGGGUGGGUGAGGAAACAUAAUGAGUGGGAGUGGGUGGAAUUGAUAAUGAGUGGGAGUGGGUGAGGACACCUUUUUGACUAACAAUCUCCCCCUCCGAACCCAAUCUCUGUGACCCCGUCACUUGGAGUCCAUCCCGAUCAAUUCCUUGUAAAAUUCCAGCUUGUCACGAGUAACAACUUUUGUUAACAUGUCUGAGGGAUUCUCGUCAGUAUGAACUUUCUUCACUUUCAUCAAUUCCUUUUCCAUCACUUCUCGAAGCCAGUGAUAACGAACAUCAAUAUGUUUGGUCCGAUUAUGAUACGUGGCAUUCUUGGUCAAGUCAAUUGCACUCUGACUAUCACAAUAAACCACGUACUCAUCUUGUUUCAAACCCAACUCUUGGAGAAACCGUUUUAACCACAACAUCUCCUUGCCUGCUUCAGUAGCAGCGAUGUAUUCUGACUCAGUUGUAGACAAAGCAACACACUUUUGCAACUUGGACUGCCAUGAUACUGCUCCCCCUGCAAAAGUAAACAAAUACCCCGAAGUAGACUUCUUCUCUUCAGAACCUGCCAUGUCUGCAUCUGUAAAACCCUCCAAGACUGGACUCGUACUACCAAAAACCAAACAUAAACUGGAAGUAGCUUUCAAGUAUCUGAGAAUCCACUUAACUGCUUCCCAAUGUUCUCUGCCAGGAUUUGACAAAUACCUGCUCACAACGCCAACUGCAUGAGCAAUAUCUGGCCGCGUACAAACCAUUGCAUACAUAAGACUCCCUACAGCAGAGGAGUAGGGAACUGCUUCCAUAUCAUCUCUCCCUUCCUUGGUAGAAGGACACAUGCACUUUGUCAACUUAAUAUGACUAGCCAGUGGUGUGCUAACUGGUUUAGCAUCACUCAUGUUGAACCUUGCAAGCACCCGCUCAACAUACUUCUCUUGUGACAACCACAACCUCUUGGCUUUCCUGUCACGAACAAUCUUCAUACCCAAAAUCUGUUUAGCUGGACCCAAGUCCUUCAUAUCAAAGGACUUGAACAACUCACCCUUGAGCCUGCGAAUCAUAUCAGCAUCCUGCCCAACUAUCAACAUAUCAUCUACAUAUAACAACAGAAUAACGAAGUUACCAUCUGGGAACCUCUUGACAUACACACAAUGAUCUGCAAUUGUUCUACUAUAACCUUGAUCCACCAUAAAUGAAUCAAAUUUCAUGUACCACUGCCUUGGGGCUUGUUUCAGGCCGUACAAACUUUUCUUCAACUUGCAGACCAAGUGUUCUUUCCCUUUAACUUCAAAUCCCUCUGGCUGUUCCAUGUAGAUUUCUUCCUUCAAAUCACCAUGAAGAAAAGCAGUCUUAACAUCCAACUGCUCAAGCUCAAGAUCCAUACUAGCAACUAAUCCCAGCACUACUCGAAUAGAAGUCAUCUUUACGACUGGAGAAAAAAUCUCAUCGAAGUCAAUACCUUGCUUUUGAGCAAAACCCUUGACAACUAGUCGAGCCUUGUACUUUACUAGUUUAUCGCCAUCCUUCUUAAGCUUAAACACCCAUUUGUUCUUCAAUGUUUUCUUGCCUUUCGGAAGUGUAGUCAACUCAUAGGUGUGAUUCUUGUGCAAAGAAUCCAUCUCAUCUUGCAUAGCUCUCAGCCAAUUGCCCUUGUCCUUAUGAGUCUUGACUUCUUGAAAAUCCUCUAGCUCCCCCUCCUCAGCAACUAAAAGAUAUUCAGAUGAAGGAUAUCUGAUUGAUGGCACACGUUCUCUAGUAGAUCUUCUUAGCUGAGGUUCUUCAAUAUCAGGUUGCUCCCCCUGAUCAACACUCUCUGCAUCUGACCCAUCANNNNNNNNNNNNNNNNNNNNNNNNNNNNNNNNNNNNNNNNNNNNNNNNNNNNNNNNNNNNNNNNNNNNNNNNNNNNNNNNNNNNNNNNNNNNNNNNNNNNAAAAAUCCACUAGAAUAAUAUGAGAGAAUACAAAGAUAUCUUAAUUUGAGUACAAACUCAAAUUACUUCACCACAAUAACUAUGUGAUGGAACCCAAAUAAAACACCCUUCUAUUUGAACUAUCUUUCUCCCUCUCUAUUUUCUAAAGCUUCACAGAAGCUUUUCUUUCUCUCCUUCUCUCCUUCUCUCCUUAAACUCUCGGAUGGAGUAUGCUGAUUUUUGUUGGUGUAUUUCAUCCUUCUUCCUUAGCCUCCUUUUAUAGCCAAAUGAGGAGGAGAGAGGUUGGCUAAAUUAUGAGGUAGGUAGGAAAGUAGAAGGUGGAGUGGGUGGGUGAGGAAACAUAAUGAGUGGGAGUUGGUAGAAUUGAUAAUGAGUGGGAGUGAGAGUGGGUGAGAACACCUUUUUGAUUAACAUACCGCUCACAUACACUCACAUAUAUAUUAGUAUGGCUCACAUAAUUUGUUUUAUACGUAGAUCAUACCAAUAUGAAUACGAGUGUAUUUGAAUAAUAUGUAAAUUUUAUGUCAUAGUAGAAAUCUGAACCGCCCACCUGUCUGAGUAAUAGUAAUAAUUAAUUAAGUGUGCUCGCCAUGUUGGACUUGAGGUGCUAGUUGCUGCCCACUUGGAAGAAAGACAAAAGUAAAAGCAAGUCUAAUACAUGCAUCUUUCCAGACUGAUUGGAAUUUGGAAUUUGGAAAUUGCAGAGUUUGUGCUGACCAUCACUCUCUUGCAAUCACUUUAAGUGAUUCUUAAUAUGCCUAGACAAAACCAGAGAGAGAAACGAAGAAAGGGAAAAAUUACUACGUUCAAUUAAUCAAUUUAUUAUAAAGUUAACUUUUUAUGAUAAUCGGAUCCCAAAUUAUAACGUGAAAAAAAAGAAACUUGUUCAUCACAGGUUUUACAAUUUGUUGUUGAGAAAAUGAAACCUCAUGUACCUAAGGGAAAAACAAUAAAAAAUUAAAAACCAUAAUAAUAUGAUAAAAAUAUGCCUAAAAUAAGACAUGUAAAACAAGACCGCUAGCAAAUCACUUUUUUCAUCAAACAAGUGCUUGAGGUGAUUAAGACCCAUUGCUUUUUGGGUGCAGAUUUUUAUUAACGGUGAUUCAAUCUUUCAAAUAUUGUUAGAAAAAUAUACUAUUUGAAAUGCGGAUCCCAAUCCAUGACGAUUAAAAAAUACAGAAAAAAACUAUUGAGAUAGAUAGAGAUACAAACAUUUUGGAUUUUUAUUUACAUGCUAGUUUACGUUUUGGGUGGAAAAGAAGAUUUAAGAUCCAAGUACCCACAACAAUUUACAUCAUUUCACCAUUAUAUCAUCACCCCCUUUUUACUUGGUAUAUUUUCACCCCCAAGAUUGACCGGGUCUUUUGAUCCAUUUAUCAAACAUCCCUUCAAUCAUAACAAACCCCAAACAUUCAUUCAACUAGCUAAAACAGUUAUUCAAAACAAAAAAAUUUGUUAUUAAAAAAAUUUUAGGCCCCUUACAUGGAAACAAAUCCUCAUUGAUCAUUCUUCGUUUAACAAAGCCAAAUGAGAAUUCGUUCUUCCGAUCUCCCCAAUUGCUGCCGCAGGUGGAGUACACGGCGAGGACUGGCCGGAAGCCAUCAAGGCCAGACAACUUUCGCUCCAAGCUCGCCUUAUUGGGUACGAAACUUUUGUUUUUGGGGACACAUGGGAGCAAUGCCCGCGCGUCUUAUGUAACGCACAGCUGCAGUUACGGUGGUACGGCCGCUGCUGGAUUCCCAUGUCGUUACCGGAGAUACAUCCGUCGUAUACGCCUCGGAAAAGCCCGUCUCCUGCCGCUCCGGUGGCCAUUUCAGGUUAAUUCCUCCUCCCUAGAAGGUGCGAGCGAUUCUUGUGAGAAUAGGGGGUGGAAAUGGCAUAUAUAGGAUUUGGUAUAUUAUUAUUUAAAUACUACUAGUAAGUAAUUUCAAAUGUUUUUUUUUUCUUGAAGUUUUUCUGUUUUAUAUAGGGGGAGGGGUGAAAAAUGAUGCUUAUAUGGAGUACUACAGCUACAUACACGGAACUACGGUGUUUUGGGGCAGCGAGCUUAGCGUGGUACUAGCCGUGUCUUGUGCGAGACCUAGUACAAUGGCGUGGGCCCUACAUAAUUAUUAAUAGUACUUAUAGUAUAUUUGGGAAGUGGUUAGCAUGAAGUUUAUUUUUAGGUAAGUUGGUCAAUUGGCUAAUAGAGUGCUGACACGCAGACGAGGUUCUAUGUGUGUCAGCAUUCUAUUGGUCAAUUGACCAACUUACCAAAAAUUAAACUUCAUGCUAACCGGAUCCGUAUAUUUGUAUUACUACUAGUAUUUAAAUUAAAUUGAUUAGGAGAUAAAGAAGGGGGAGGGGUAGCAAGAAGUUAGGAGAGAAAAAGAGAAUGGUGGAGUUGAAAACAAGAUACUCAUAGUUAGGCUCAAAACUAAUAAGUCGACAAAAUUAUAGUUAGCUAUAAUUAAUGGGAAUUAUACGAAAAUGUUUAUGAAAUUUCUUGUAAUAAUCAGUUGGGAAGUGAGAAUAAGUAUGAUAUGAUUAGUUUAGGAUAAGAUAGGAUUUUGUUUUAAUCCGUGGAUUGCCUCUUAAUUAACUUUAAGCAUUUGCUAAUAAGGUGUUAU